rnacentral:misc_RNA from 1 species
GGAAGUAAACGUCGUAACAAGGUUUCCGUAGGUGAACCUGCGGAAGGAUCAUUAUUGUAUAACCGAGAUGCGAGGGCUGUCGCUGACCCGAAAGGUCGUGCACGCCCGAGUGCCCUCACACACAUCCAUCUCACCCCUAUGUGCACCACCGCGUGGGUUCCCCUUUGGCUUGUUCGGAGGGGGGCUUACGUUUUCACACAAACUUUGUAUGCAGUGUAGAAUGUAUUUUUUGUUUUUGCGAUCACGCAAUCAAUACAACUUUCAACAACGGAUCUCUUGGCUCUC